CCAUAGUGUGCUCUGGAAACUGUNUGACUUGAGUGCAGAAGGGGAGAGUGGAAUUCCAUGUGUAGCGGUGAAAUGNGUAGAUAUAUGGAGGAACACCAGUGGCGAAAGCGGCUCUCUGNUCUGUCACUGACGCUGAGGCUCGAAAGCGUGGGUAGCGAACAGGAUUAGAUACCCUGGUAGUCCACGCCGUAAACGAUGAGUGCUAGGUGUUAGGCCCUUUUCCGGGGCUUAGUGCCGGAGCUAACGCAAUAAGCACUCCGCCUGGGGAGUACGACCGCAAGGUUGAAACUCAAAGGAAUUGACGGGGGCCCGCACAAGCGGUGGAGCAUGUGGUUUAAUUCGAAGCAACGCGAAGAACCUUACCAGGUCUUGACAUCCCGAUGCUAUUCUUAGAGAUAGGAAGUUACUUCGGUACAUCGGAGACAGGUGGUGCAUGGUUGUCGUCAGCUCGUGUCGUGAGAUGUUGGGUUAAGUCCCGCAACGAGCGCAACCCUUAUUGUUAGUUGCCAUCAUUAAGUUGGGCACUCUAGCGAGACUGCCGGUAAUAAACCGGAGGAAGGCGGGGAUGACGUCAAAUCAUCAUGCCCCUUAUGACCUGGGCUACACACGUGCUACAAUGGUCGGUACAACGAGUUGCGAGCCGGUGACGGCAAGCUAAUCUCUGAAAGCCGAUCUCAGUUCGGAUUGGAGGCUGCAACUCGCCUCCAUGAAGUCGGAAUCGCUAGUAAUCGCGGAUCAGCACGCCGCGGUGAAUACGUUCCCGGGCCUUGUACACACCGCCCGUCACACCACGAGAGUUUGUANCACCCGAAGUCGG
rnacentral:rRNA from 1 species